UACGUAGGGGGCAAGCGUUGUCCGGAAUCAUUGGGCGUAAAGCGCGUGUAGGCGGCCCGGUAAGUCCGCUGUGAAAGUCCAGGGCUCAACCCUGGAAUGCCGGUGGAUACUGUCGGGCUCGAGUCCGGAAGAGGCGAGUGGAAUUCCUGGUGUAGCGGUGAAAUGCGCAGAUAUCAGGAGGAACACCGAUGGCGAAGGCAGCUCGCUGGGACGG
rnacentral:rRNA from 1 species